rnacentral:rRNA from 1 species
GACGAGGGAUCCUAGCGUUGUUCGGAAUCACUGGGCGUAAAGCGCGCGUAGGCGGUUUUUCAAGUCGGAUGUGAAAUCCCCAGGCUCAACCUGGGAACUGCAUUCGAGACUGGAUUACUAGAGUAUGGGAGAGGGAAGUGGAAUUUCCGGUGUAGCGGUGAAAUGCGUAGAUAUCGGAAGGAACAUCAGUGGCGAAAGCGACUUCCUGGACCAAUACUGACGCUCAUGUGCGAAAGCGUGGGGAGCAAACAGG